rnacentral:pre_miRNA from 1 species
AGUGGGAUAGCUGGGCCAAAUGGUGGUUCCAUUCCCAAUUUCCAAGAUAUCUCCAUACUACUUUCCAUAUUGGCUGCACCAAUUUGCAGUCCCUUCAGCAGU